rnacentral:rRNA from 1 species
CGUGCCAGCAGCCGCGGUAAUACGGAGGAUGCGAGCGUUAUCCGGAUUUAUUGGGUUUAAAGGGUGCGUAGGCGGUUUGUUAAGUCAGUGGUGGAAGUUUGCGGCUCAACCGUAAAAUUGCCAUUGAAACUGGCGAACUUGAGUACAGUAGAGGUAGGCGGAAUUCGUGGUGUAGCGGUGAAAUGCUUAGAUAUCACGAAGAACUCCGAUUGCGAAGGCAGCUUGCUGGACUGUAACUGACGCUGAGGCACGAAGGCGUGGGGAUCAAACAGGAUUAGAUACCCUGGUAGUCCACGCCGUAAACGAUGAAUGCUAGCUGUUAGCGAUAUACUGUUAGCGGCACAGAGAAAUCGUUAAGCAUUCCACCUGGGGAGUACGCCGGCAACGGUGAAACUCAAAGGAAUUGACGGGGGCCCGCACAAGCGGAGGAACAUGUGGUUUAAUUCGAUGAUACGCGAGGAACCUUACCUGGGCUUAAAUUGCAGUGGAAUGACGUGGAAACAUGUUAGCCUUCGGGCCGCUGUGAAGGUGCUGCAUGGUUGUCGUCAGCUCGUGCCGUGAGGUGUCGGCUUAAGUGCCAUAACGAGCGCAACCCUCAUCGAUAGUUACUAACAGGUUAAGCUGAGGACUCUAUCGAGACUGCCGACGUAAGUCGUGAGGAAGGUGGGGAUGACGUCAAAUCAGCACGGCCCUUACGUCCAGGGCUACACACGUGUUACAAUGGGGGGUACAAAGGGCAGCUACCUGGCGACAGGAUGCUAAUCUCAAAAACCUCUCUCAGUUCGGAUUGGAGUCUGCAACCCGACUCCAUGAAGCUGGAUUCGCUAGUAAUCGCGCAUCAGCCACGGCGCGGUGAAUACGUUCCCGGGCCUUGUACACACCGCCCGUCAAGCCAUGGGAGCCGGGGGGACCUGAAGUAUGCAACCGUAAGGAGCGUCCUAGGGUAAAACUGGUGACUGGGGCUAAGUCGUAACAAGGUACC